rnacentral:rRNA from 1 species
AGCAGCCGCGGUAAAUUCCAGCUCCAAUAGCGUAUAUUAAAGUUGUUGCAGUUAAAAAGCUCGUAGUUGAAUUUCGGGAUCAAUAUAUUGGUCGUGCCUCUGGUAUGAACUGGUAUUAUUGAUUUCUACCUUCUGACGAACUGUGAUGUCAUUAAUUUGGUGUCAUGGGGAAUCAGGACUGUUACUUUGAAAAAUUAGAGUGUUUAAAGCAGGCACACGCUUGAAUACAUUAGCAUGGAAUAAUGAAAUAGGACGUUUGACCCUAUUUUGUUGGUUUCUAGGAUCGACGUAAUGAUUAAUAGGGAUAGUUGGGGGCAUUAGUAUUCAAUUGUCAGAGGUGAAAUUCUUGGAUUUAUUGAAGACUAACUACUGCGAAAGCAUUUGCCAAGGAUGUUUUCAU